rnacentral:rRNA from 1 species
GGGGCCUUUGGGCCUUUUUCCAUCAGAAGGUCCCAGAUGGGAUUAGGUAGUAGGUGGGGUAACGGCUCACCUAGGCGGCGAUUUCUAACUGGUUUGGAAGGGUGGCCCCCCCCCCUGGGACUGAGGCCCGGUCCCGAAUUCUUCGGGGGGCAGCCGUGGGGAAUUUUUCCCAAUGGGGGCAAAGCUGAAGCCCCCCUUCCGCGGGUAUGAAGAAGGCCUUCGGGUUUUAAAAUUCUUUUAGCGGGGAGGAAAGAGUUGAGGUUAAUAACCUCAGCGAUUGGCGUUACCCGCAGAAGAAGCCCCGGGUAAAUCCCUGCCCACACCCCCGGUAAUACGGAGGGGGCCAGCGUUUAUUGGAAUUUCUUGGGGUAAAACGCACGCCGGCGGUUUUUCAAGUUGGAUGGGAAAUUCCCCGGGUCCACCCGGGGAACGCCUUUGAAACUGGCCGGCUUGAGUUUUGUAGAGGGGGGUAGAAUUUCCGGGGUAGCGGGGAAAUGCGUAGAGAUUUGGGAGGAACCCCGGGGGGAAGGGGGCCCCCCGGGCAAAGGCUGACGCUCAGGUGCGAAAGCGUGGGGGGCAAACCGGGUUUGAUACCCUGGUUGUUCCCCCCGUAAACGAAGUUGAAUUGGAGGUUGGGCCCUUGAGGCGUGGCUUCCGGAGCUAACGCCUAUAAGUCGACCGCCUGGGGAGUACGGCCGCAAGGUUAAAACUCAAAUGAAUUGACGGGAGCCCGCACAAGCGGUGAAGCAUGUGGUUUAAUUCGAUGCAACGCGAAGAACCUUACCUACUCUUGACAUCCAGAGAACUUACCAGAGAUGCUUUGGUGCCUUCGGGAACUCUGAGACAGGUGCUGCAUGGCUGUCGUCAGCUCGUGUUGUGAAAUGUUGGGUUAAGUCCCGCAACGAGCGCAACCCUUAUCCUUUGUUGCCAGCGGUCCGGCCGGGAACUCAUAGGAGACUGCCAGUGAUAAACUGGAAGAAGGUGGGGAUGACGUCAAGUCAUCAUGGCCCUUACGAGUAGGGCUACACACGUGCUACAAUGGCGCAUACAAAGAGAAGCGACCUCGCGAGAGCAAGCGGACCUCAUAAAGUGCGUCGUAGUCCGGAUUGGAGUCUGCAACUCGACUCCAUGAAGUCGGAAUCGCUAGUAAUCGUAAAUCAGAAUGCUACGGUGAAUACGUUCCCGGGCCUUGUACACACCGCCCGUCACACCAUGGGAGUGGGUUGCAAAAGAAGUAGGUAGCUUAACCUUCGGGAGGGCGCUUACCACUUUGUGAUUCAUGACUGGGGUGAAGUCGUAACAAGGUAACCG